rfam:Habropoda laboriosa contig9604, whole genome shotgun sequence.
GUCAACGGUCAUACCGCGCAUGUACCUACCGGUUCUCGUCCGAUCACCGAAGUCAAGAUGCGUUGGGCACGGUUAGUACUUAGAUGGGUGACCGCUUGGGAACUCCGUGUACUGUUGGCA